rnacentral:misc_RNA from 1 species
GGAUUCAGUGAGUCAUCGAAAUUUUGAACGCAUAUUGCACUUCCGGGUUAGUCCUGGGAGUAUGCCUGUAUCAGUGUCCGUACAUCAAACUUGGCUUUCUUCCUUCCGUGUAGUCGGUGGAGGAUGUGCCAGAUGUGAAGUGUCUUGCGGGUGUCCUUCGGGUCGUCUGCGAGUCCUUUGAAAUGUACUGAACUGUACUUCUCUUUGCUCGAAAAGCGUGGUGUUGCUGGUUGUGGAGGCUGCCUGCGUGGCCAGUCGGCGACCGGUUUGUCUGCUGCAGCGUUUAAUGGAGGAGUGUUCGAUUCGCGGUAUGGUUGGCUUCGGCUGAACAGGCGCUUAUUGUAUGCUUUUCCUGCUGUGGCGUGAUGGGCUGGUGAACCGUAGCUAUGUGUGGCUUGGCUUUUGAAUCGGCUUUGCUGUUGCGAAGUAGAGUGGCGGCUUCGGCUGUCGAGGGUCGAUCCAUUUGGGAACUUUGUGNACCUCGG